rnacentral:rRNA from 1 species
AUGUACAUGCCUAUGGAGUUAAUGCAAUGAAUCCCAUUAGAACUCCACAAUUAAGCGUGCACGAGCUAGAGUAGAACUUGGAUGGGUCACCUCCUGGAAAGUCCUAGUGUUUUACAUG